AGACAACAGGGAUUGCCUCAGUAACGGCGAGUGAAGCGGCAACAGCUCAAAUUUGAAAUCUGGCUCUGCCCGAGUUGUAAUUUGCAGAGGGUGCUUUGGAGUCGUCCCCGGUCUAAGUUCCUUGGAACAGGACGUCGCAGAGGGUGAGAAUCCCGUACGCGGCUGGGUGCCUUCUCCGUGUAUUGCCCCUUCGACGAGUCGAGUUGUUUGGGAAUGCAGCUCUAAAUGGGAGGUAAAUUUCUUCUAAAGCUAAAUAUCGGCCGGAGACCGAUAGCGCACAAGUAGAGUGAUCGAAAGAUGAAAAGCACUUUGAAAAGAGAGUUAAAAAGUACGUGAAAUUGUUGAAAGGGAAGCGUUUGCAGCCAGACUUGCCGGCAGUUGCUCAACCGGUCUUUGCCCGGUGCACUCUUCUGCCGGUAGGCCAGCAUCAGUUCGGGCGGUCGGAUAAAGGCUUGGGGAACGUGGCUCCUCGGAGUGUUAUAGCCCCUCGCACAAUACGGCCUGUCCGGACUGAGGUCAGCGAUCCAUGGAUGCUGGCGUAAUGGCUGCCAACGGCCCGUCUUGAAACACGGACCAAGGAGUCUAACAUCUAUGCGAGUGUUUGGGUGUCAAACCCGUACGCGUAAUGAAAGUGAACGGAGGUGGGAGCUUCGGCGCACCAUCGACCGAUCCUGAUGUCUUCGGAAGGAUUUGAGUAAGAGCAUAGCUGUUGGGACCCGAAAGAUGGUGAACUAUGCCUGAAUAGGGUGAAGCCAGAGGAAACUCUGGUGGAGGCUCGCAGCGGUUCUGACGUGCAAAUCGAUCGUCAAAUUUGGGUAUAGGGGCGAAAGACUAAUCGAACCAUCUAGUAGCUGGUUCCUGCCGAAGUCUCCCUCUCAGGGAUA
rnacentral:rRNA from 1 species